UCAAUUGGUGCAAUAAUUUUCUAUGCUUCACGGCUGAUAUGCCCAUUUCUUAGUGUAUAUAUAGUUCAGUGGUGGUACACUUAUAAUUUGAUGGUAUAUUGUGCAUUGAAAUUAUGACAGGUCAAGGAAAAAAAUGGCGGCGUCUGCCAAUCAGUAAUACCGUUUUUUCAAUUUGAAGGCUUCUCACAGUUAUUCCAAAAAUUCAAGAAUAUUGAAGAAUUUUAUCAUUAUACAAGAAUGAUGCCCGAUAGGUUUAAUUAGUUUUAGAAAAGACAAAAUUAUCUGUCUAAAACAUAGCAGGAGACAUUCAUUACCAUCCUUGAAUUCAUUACCAUACAGAAUUGAGACUGGCUGCUACUCUAGGAUAUCUUGUUCAUAAAGAUUGUGUAUGGUCAAAGAAGUGGUCUUUUUUUAUUCAUUCAAUAGUAAUAAGAUUAUCCCUGAGAUAUGCGAUGCAAUUAUAAAAGCUCUACAGCCAAUAUAUUUAUUAUCCAUGAUAAAAGAGGAUUGACGUAAUGUAGUUGAUAGAUUUUAUGAGAAGUAGAAUUUCCCUAAUUGUAUAAGGGUACUUGGUGUAAGAAUCUAGACUUCAAAAAACUCAAGCUUUCUUCUUCAAUAGCAAGAAAUUUUUUUCAAUUGUUCUCAUGGCAAUCUGUGAUACAGCUUAUGUUUUCAAAAGGAUGGACCAUGGCGAGCCCACACUUACAAAAAAUUACUGACGGCAUUACUCCUAAGCUUACGGUAUGUUGAAGGUUUAUAAAUUGGGUAAUUCUUUCAGAAUUAUUGUUUCCUCUAUUAAUAAUCCGUGGUAUAAUUUUUCUCUUUUGCUACAUUAGAUUAAAUGUAGUAUUCCAGAGACACGCUUUUACAUAAAAAAUAGCUUCCUCUUAGUCAAACUUAAAGGGAUACACUUAUCGACAGAACGCUCAUUCCGUAUUUUGCAUCCAUUUCGUUUUCCUUAUAUAGAAUAAAAAAUCUCUAGAAUAAAAAAAACGCAAUGGCUAUGGGAAAGUACAAACACUGUAUAAAAAUCUAAAAAUUGUAAAUUAUAGUUUCCUGUUUUCUACUGUUACUACAUAAGUUAUUUCUUA